GUAUGGAAACCUACUAGGUGAUAACUUUCAAAUUCAGAGAAACCCCGGAAUUACUAAAAAGGGGCAAUCCUGAGCCAAAUCCUGUUUUCGCAAAAGAAAGGUUCAUAAAACCAAAAAACGGAUAGGUGCAGAGACUCAAUGGAAGCUGUUCUAAUAAAUGGGUGCACUGAGAGACGAAUCUUACCGUCGAAACAUCAGAAAGGAUCAAGGAUAAACCUAUCUAUUCUAUUGAAUACUAUAUUAAUAAUUAAUAGAUUAAUGCUGGCCCGAAUACAUAACUGUAUCUUUUUUAUAUGAAAAAUAGAAGAAUUGGUGUCAAUUCAUUCGACAUUGAAUAAAAAAUCGAUCAAAUAAUUCACUCCCUAGUCCGAUAAACCUUUUAAAGACUGGAUCAAUCGGACAAGAAUAAAGAUAGAGUCCCCUUCUACAUGUCACUACCGGCAACAAUGAAAUUUAUAGUAAGAGGAAAAUCCGUUGACUUUUAAAAUCGUGAGGGUUCAAGUCCCUCUAUCCCCAAAAAAGUUGACUCCCAAACUAGUUAUCCUAGCCACUCGCUGUCAGUUCCAAAUUCCUUUAUCUUUCUGAUUCUUUGCCAAACGUAGUUGGGCGUAAAUGACUUUCUCUUAUACCAAUCGAAUACACAUCCAAAUUUAGCAAAGAAUCCCGAUUAAAAUGUUAAAUGAUUACAAUCACUAGCUUUACUACUACUGCAACUUUUAAAGUUGUCUUUUUUUUUUUUGAAGAUCAAAAAACUUACAGGACUUAGAGAAAACUUUGUAAUCCCCUUGAAUUGACAUAGACCCCAGUCAGCGAAUAAAAUAUAAAAUAGAGUAUGGGAUACUCCGCUGGGAAUGGUCGGGAUAGCUCAGCU
rnacentral:misc_RNA from 1 species